UUCAUCUAUAGAAUGCGAAACAUUCCCCCAGGUGAUUCUGAUCACUACGUUUGCACUUUGGAGCUAUGAUUGAGUAAAAUAAAAGUUACUUGAACACAAGUACUGUGACAUGGCAACCAAGAUGGCUACUGAGUGACACACAGGCAGGGAGCUUACACACCGUGGAUACCUGGACGAAGGGAGGAUUCAGGUCCCAGGUGGGAUGGUGCCGGAUAGUGUGACAUUUCAUCAUGUGCCUCCGAAUGGAUGGUAUUAUCAUGCUAAUGUCUGCAGAGAAGGAAGCACAGAUUAGGUGACUGUGGCUACUAUGAGGGCCAAGGAGGCCCUCCCACCCAUCCUGUGGGAUGCACCACCUGCGCUCACUAGGCCUAUGGAGAGGGGAGUGACUGGGGCACCUGCUCACCCCUGUACCAUGCCUGUUCUUCAGCUUCAGCUCUGGAUCGCCCAGAGAGGGACUGCUGCCUGCAUCUGGGUUCCUGGACAAACAUGCAGUCUACCAGAUCUGUGGCGAAUGUCACCACCUGUGACAGCGCUCUUAUUUAUGAACUGAAGAACACUCUCCAUCUUGGCCCUCUUGCCAGAAAAGUUCUUUCUCCACAGACCAACAGGAAGUUCCCUAAGUACUAUGAGACCUUGUCUUUGCCUAUAGCUGGCUGCAUUGGACAUGGAUUCCUGGCCCAAGUUCAUUAAAGAAGAUGAGGGAAAAUAAACACACAUGUACACGCACACCAGAUAAACUGAAUGCUUCCUUCUGCUGGGGACACGCUGUAGGUGAGCAAGUGCACCAAGGACAAGGCGGCCACUGAUGAAAAGGAAGGGAAAAGAGACUUCAUUUCCAUACCCACUAACCAUGCCAACAGAAGGCUUUGUGAAGAAGGAAGUAAAAGCUAUCGGUAGGAGUUAGAAAAAAACAUUUCUAGUUACAAGAACAGCAGAAAAAGACCUGAACUUCAGAGUGGACCACAAAUGAAUAUGAAUUAAUAACACAGAUCUCUUUUCAAAAGCCAACACAAAAUGAGGAUGUGUUUUUUGCAAAAGCAGUUGUUCUUGCCACUGGGCUUAUGCUUGUCAUUCUUUCAUGUGUCACAGCCAGACCUAGGAAAUUCCCUGGAAAGUCCCCUCCAUCACACACCUGCAGUUUUUCCAUUUGAGUGUAAUUCUGUUGGACCUUGAAAGACUUUUUGAUCUUUGGGACGCUCUUAUCACCAAAUGUAUCUUUCUGCAGGAAGAAGACAGAAGAAAGGGGUGGACUAUGAGAUGGGAGCCUGGGUCCCAAUUUCAGUUCAACCAUUACCAACCAGGUGGCUUUAGGCAAGUCUGGUCAUUUCCUUUGCCUCAGUGGCUUUCUAUAAAAUGGAAUUCUAUAGGGAUGAUGAAAGCGAAAACGUUAGCCACUAUGCUUGCUAGUGCUCAAGAAAUGAUUCCUUCCUGCCUGCCUGCCUCAGUUUUCCAUCUGUAAACAAGGAUUCAACUAGAACAUCUUUGAGGUUCCUUGAGCUCUAACACUCUGUGAUUCUGUUGGCAGCACCUUAAGAAAUUUACAACAAACACUCCAUUGAGUCUUAAUCUAUUAGAUCCCAUUCAGUUCUAAUAGUGUUGUGAUUUUGACUUUGUAGCCUCAUGUUUAUUUUCUCUCUUCCUGAUUUUUUAUUUAUAUAUUCUAUUUAAUAGUUUUUGCUUUUUCAAGUUGUCACCAGUUCUUUGUAGAAUAAGAAAAAAGUAUAACUAACUGGAGGAAAGAAUGCAUUCACAGAAAGCCAAGGAAUGAUAACACUAAUGCUAAUACAAUACUACUGCUAAUAAAAAUAACUGCCUUUAUUGAACACUUACUGUGUGCAAAGAACUAUGCUAAGCACUUUAUAAACAUUGGG
rnacentral:lncRNA from 1 species